GAUGAACGCUAGCUACAGGCUUAACACAUGCAAGUCGAGGGACCGGCGCACGGGUGAGUAACACGUAUCCAACCUGCCCUUUACUCGAGGAUAGCCUUUCGAGAGAAAGAUUAAUACCCGAUAUAAAGGAUGGGGAUGCGUUGCAUUAGGUUGUUGGUGAGGUACCGGCUCACCAAGCCUUCGCUGGAUAGGGGUGCGGGGAGGAAGGUCCACAACAGGGGAAAGGAGACACGGUCCAAACUCCGACGGGAGGCAGCAGGGAGGAAUAUUGAUCAAUGGGCGCUAGCCUGAACCAGCCAAGUGGCGUGAAGGAUGAAGGCAUAUGGGUAGUAAACUUCUUUUAGAUAAGAAGAUGUAUUAUAUGAAUAGGGAUCGGCUAACUCCGUGCCAGCCGCCGCGGUAAUAC
rnacentral:rRNA from 1 species